UACGUAGGGGGCAAGCGUUGUCCGGAAUCAUUGGGCGUAAAGCGCGUGUAGGCGGCUCGGUAAGUCUGCUGUGAAAGUCCAGGGCUCAACCCUGGGAUGCCGGUGGAUACUGUCGAGCUCGAGUCCGGAAGAGGCGAGUGGAAUUCCUGGUGUAGCGGUGAAAUGCGCAGAUAUCAGGAGGAACACCAAUGGCGAAGGCAGCUCGCUGGGACGUGACUGACGCUGAGACGCGAAAGCGUGGGGAGCAAACAGG
rnacentral:rRNA from 1 species